AUUGAACGCUGGCGGCAGGCCUAACACAUGCAAGUCGAGCGGCAGCGGAAAGUAGCUUGCUACUUUGCCGGCGAGCGGCGGACGGGUGAGUAAUGUCUGGGAAACUGCCUGAUGGAGGGGGAUAACUACUGGAAACGGUAGCUAAUACCGCAUAACGUCGCAAGACCAAAGAGGGGGACCUUCGGGCCUCUUGCCAUCAGAUGUGCCCAGAUGGGAUUAGCUAGUAGGUGGGGUAACGGCUCACCUAGGCGACGAUCCCUAGCUGGUCUGAGAGGAUGACCAGCCACACUGGAACUGAGACACGGUCCAGACUCCUACGGGAGGCAGCAGCGGGGAAUAUUGCACAAUGGGCGCAAGCCUGAUGCAGCCAUGCCGCGUGUAUGAAGAAGGCCUUCGGGUUGUAAAGUACUUUCAGCGGGGAGGAAGGUGUUGAGGUUAAUAACCUCAGCAAUUGACGUUACCCGCAGAAGAAGCACCGGCUAACUCCGUG
rnacentral:rRNA from 1 species